rnacentral:rRNA from 1 species
AAUGAACGUUGGCGGCGUGGAUUAGGCAUGCAAGUCGAGCGAGAACCGUAGCAAUACGGGGACAGCGGCGAAAGGGACAGUAAUGUGUAGGUACCUACCCCUGGGUUCGGGAUAGCUGCGGGAAACUGCAGGUAAUACCGAAUAAUGUCUCCGGACCAAAGGUGUGAUUCCACCUGGGGAGGGGCCUGCAUCCUAUUAGCUUGUUGGCGGGGUAACGGCCCACCAAGGCAACGAUGGGUAGCGGGUGUGAGAGCACGACCCGCGUCAUUGGGACUGAGAUACUGCCCAGACACCUACGGGUGGCUGCAGUCGAGGAUCUUCGGCAAUGGGCGAAAGCCUGACCGAGCGACGCCGCGUGCGGGAUGAAGGCCUUCGGGUUGUAAACCGCUGUCGUUGGGGAGGAAGUGCAGGGGGGUCUCCCCUCUGUUUGACCUAUCCAAGGAGGAAGUACGGGCUAAGUUCGUGCCAGCAGCCGCCGUAA